AAUCUUUUAAAUAAAUAAUAUAAUAGUAGAUUAUUCUUUUAGUGUGAUUUUUGGUGUUAUGGUUGGAGAGAACAUAAGUUUUAGUGCUAAAAAUAGUGUAAUUUGAACACCAAAAUGGUGUUUAGCCUUGGAGAUGCCCUUAUACAUGAUAAAAAGUAAAAACGCCCUUGGUUACAAAUAUCAUAUUACUCUACUUUGAUCUUUAAAAC
rnacentral:sRNA from 1 species